UAUUCGCUGGCCAGCCUCGUGCAUGGCUGGCACGUGGGCCCACUCUCCUCAAAAGGAAUAAUUGAUGCAGUAAAAAAUUUACUAGGAGUAGUACGUAGGUUUUUUUACUAGUUUGAGGGUGGUGGAUUUACUGUGGGGGUUGGAUGGGUGUAGAUUUGUUGCGAAAUUUGGCUGGAAAUGGGAAUCCGAGGUGAAAUUUAUUGGAUUUUUGCCGUGUAGAGGGCAGGCAGCAUGCAUGGCUUGCAUGUGAAUCCAAAGCUAGCAAAACAUCAUUCAAAGCCUCACUGCUGCAGUUUUAGGUUGGGGCAGAAAAAACGGUAGCAAUAAAGAAGGUAAUCUUUUUUGCACUGUAUAUAGAGAGAGAGAAUAAAAAGGGAGCUGCUUUUUUUAGGUGAAAAGACUCGAAAAGAGUGGUGAGUUUAGGUUGUUCUAGAUGAUGGUGGUGUUCCUGCACUGCAGUGCUCUUUGUGUGGAUUUAUUUUUAGCUAAGGGAAUGAUUGGGAAAUUUUGCUGUGUUUUUUUGUGUAGUGGUAAAGAGAAAAGGACUAGCAUAUCAUAAAGUGAGAGAGAGAAAAAAAUAAAGCUUAGUGCAGGAUGGAUUAUGUGUGUAGCUAGGGGGGAGAGGGGGUCAGGCUUGCACUAAGAAAGCAAUGAAUAAAAUGGGAGGGGUACAUUUUAGUACUACGAAAUCACAGUUGCGGUGCACUUAGAUAAUAAUCACAGUAUAUUAAGGUCGACAAAAGUACACAUCUUGAUAUACAAAACUAGUUACAGAAAGAUGGAAAAUUUUUUACUCUAGUGAAUUAUUGUUAGCACUCAUGAGAAACACUUGCACUAGUUUAGGAGGAGAAGGUUCCAAAUCCUUUCUUCUUUUUGGAACCAAUACAACUAGAACAAUCUUUUUCUCCCAUUGAUAGACAGAUAGAGAAAGUGGC
rnacentral:sRNA from 1 species